AAGAAAAGUGAAAGAAGACGUUACCAACACCAACAAGGUUCCCAUGUGAAGAAGCAUGCAGAACCUGAUGAAGAUAGCGGCAGACCCGCGAAACAAGUCGCCUGUUCUGAGACGUUUCGACUGUCACUUUGAUACUUUGUACCAUCAAGAAUCAACAAAGGAACAAGUACUUAACCUUAUGGAACAGCGCCGACCUUGAGAAGCUGACAAUCGCUCAGCUGGUCAAGAAGUGUGUAUGAGAAACAUCUGUAACAAAAUGGAUAGGAUGGGACACAUCUUCGAAAGCAGUAUCAGGGAUUAUACUUUUGAAAGAUAUGACAACCAUUUGAUUCAGAUAAAUCUCUAAUCUAAUCACAACAUACCUUUAUUUAUCCAGAACUUAGUCACAACAUUCCCGUGCAAAAUCUUAAUGUAAACUUGAAAUCCAAACGACAUUACAUUUUUUCGGAAAUAUCGUAAAAAAUUCGGACAGCCACUGUUGUAUUUGAAACUGUUUAUACGUAAAUAAUACAAUUUUUUGUUUCUUAAAUGAAGACACACCGAGUGAAUAGAGUUUUGGUAAAGAUACUGCCACGUAGAAUGCAGCCUGAAAUUUCCAUACCGCUCCAAUUACGCAUUUCUCAUUCUGAUUCUAAAUUAUCUUAUUUUUAGGCGUGUUCUAUUCCUUAAAUCCGCUUGUUAAAAUCGCUCUGUUUAACUCUCCGUCUGCGCAUCUAGAAACAAGAGAAUGAAUCAACGGUUAUUCCUGAUAUUUAACAAUGAAUUUUACCUAAAUUUGUCGACACAUUCUAAUUUGUUCAAAAUCUGAUAUCAAAGGGCGCAUUGCUCCUUCAGGACCUCCAAACAAUUCUGCGUUUCAGAAUGUCAGGUUGAGGAAUCCGAAGUCAGGGAAUUCUCAACCAACGACAAAGAUUGAAGGUCAAGUCUGUCGAACGUGCCAGAAUUUUUAGGUUAUGGACAAAUUUAUUUAUUUUGUAGAAUUUCUUGGGGCAAUUUUCGUUGUAGAUUUAUAAGUAUCCGAUUUAUUCAAUAUAAAUAAAAUCAUGAGGGCUUUUCGCUGUAAGCAUUAUAAGCGUUAACUU